UACGUAGGGCGCAAGCGUUGUCCGGAAUUAUUGGGCGUAAAGAGCUCGUAGGCGGCUUGUCACGUCGGGUGUGAAAGCCCGGGGCUUAACCCCGGGUCUGCAUUCGAUACGGGCUAGCUAGAGUGUGGUAGGGGAGAUCGGAAUUCCUGGUGUAGCGGUGAAAUGCGCAGAUAUCAGGAGGAACACCGGUGGCGAAGGCGGAUCUCUGGGCCGUAACUGACGCUGAGGAGCGAAAGCAUGGGGAGCGAACAGG
rnacentral:rRNA from 1 species